CAGAUUUCUGUAUUUGAUGGCUCUAUCUCAAACCUUCUGAGCUGCCUGCUGCUGAUCUUGGCAUUAAAAACAGAGUGGCAUUCCCCCAAAGGAAGGGAGAAUCACAGUACCCUGGAAUCAAGGACACUCGAGAUUGAAGCCUUGGGCAAAGUGAAGAAACCAGCCACAGAGACGAGACCUUACGGGAG
rnacentral:lncRNA from 1 species